CACAAUAGAAAGUUAAACCCAUCAAAAUGCAAACAUGAAGCGUGAGACACUAGGAAUACCAUUUUUUUUUGCAAAACUCUACAAAAAAUGAAACUGGAAAAAUGAGACGACGAGGAGUGGACGAUUCUCAUGUAUAUGCUAGUCAUUUCCCAGGAAUCCGGAACCUUCUCAAUUUCGUCGUGUCGACUUGAUACACGUACAAGAGCCCGUGUUCUGCUCUGAUGUCAUUUCGAAAGUGAGGGAUGGGUGGAAACGAGUGAGAUGUAACAACUCUCUUGUGGCUCGCUCACAUAUAUUGUAUGGCGAUUGAAGAAAGAUCAGAGAAGGUAUCGUCACAUCAAUCACUUAUUGUGUUGCUGUUAUUUGUAACUUUUUGGAAUGACUAGAGUGUUUUAAAAAGGUUUCGUUGAAAACUUUCUAAAAGUUUGAAAGUGGAGUGGGGAGGUUGUCAAAAACCACUUCUUUAAUGCCAAAGGAACCAAAUAUCAUAGUAAUACUUUUAAAAGAAUGGAAAUUUUUUUUUUGUUGAUAGUUUUAUAGUUUAGUUAUGGUUACAGUAAAACUUUUCAGUAAUUGUUAAAAAACACAUUUUAUUUUGUUUCAAAAAGUGGUACUUACUCAGUGAUAGCCAGUUUUUGACUGUCAAUAAAGAAUUUUCAAAAAACACAUUUUGAAAAGUUUGACAUGAUAUUUGACCAUUUUGGCAUUUUAAACGUUUUUCACCUUGAAUAAUUUUUUGAAAAUUUGAAAAUUUUGAAAUUAAAAUGAAAACUUGUCUAUCUUUGUUAAAGGUUCUAAGAAGGGUGAUCAAUUUUAAAAUAAAGAUUAUCUACAAAUCAAACAUUGCAGAAUGAAAUGUCAGAUUAAAAACACUUUUAGGUUUUUCAAAAUGUUAA
ensembl:ncRNA C12D12.7 ncRNA